UACGGAGGGGGCUAGCGUUGUUCGGAAUUACUGGGCGUAAAGCGCACGUAGGCGGCUUUGCAAGUCAGAGGUGAAAGCCCAGGGCUCAACCCCGGAAUUGCCUUUAAGACUGCAUCGCUAGAAUCGUGGAGAGGUGAGUGGAAUUCCGAGUGUAGAGGUGAAAUUCGUAGAUAUUCGGAAGAACACCAGUGGCGAAGGCGACUCACUGGACACGUAUUGACGCUGAGGUGCGAAAGCGUGGGGAGCAAACAGG
rnacentral:rRNA from 1 species